UACGGAAGGUGCAAGCGUUGUUCGGAGUGACUGGGCGUAAAGGGCGCGUAGGCUGGAUGGUAAGAAGAUUGUGAAAACCCCGGGCUUAACCUGGGACGUGCAGUUUUGACUGCCAUUCUUGAAUGUCCGAGAGGUUAGUGGAAUUGCAGGUGUAGGAGUGAAAUCCGUAGAUAUCUGCAGGAACAUCGGAGGCGAAGGCGGCUAACUGGUGGAACAUUGACGCUGAGGCGCGAAAGCACGGGUAGCAAACAGG
rnacentral:rRNA from 1 species